ensembl:lncRNA
GCAGACAAUUAGUUUCAGUUUGGACUGAGGCUGAUGUUGACACGAGGAAGCCGUAUAGUCUCGAGGGCGGCUGAGAAGGCAGCCACCCACUGGGGAUUUGGGAAAAAGCCAGAGACUUUUCCGUCGCUCUCACAAGCAACUUUGGCAGAUGUGUCCCUCGUCGCUAAUGUGGCAAUCCUGAAGGCGAGACAACGUUUUAUUCAUCCAUCAGCGGUACGCUCGACUUUGCUUCGGUCCAGAUAGCUCUGUCCCUCCCUGACCUCUCGUGACCUCAGACUCUUCAUGUUCCAUUUACUUCAGAAAUCAGAACUUGUAGUUGGGACCGACGUCCCGCUCGAGGUCACCUCACCUUGUUCGGACGCAUCUUGUCAGCAUCCAAUCUCAGGUAACCUUUGAACUUUCAAUGUGCUGAGCCGUGAGACAGCAGCUGUACAAUCACUGCCUGGUGAGUAUUCUGGUCAUAUUGUGCUUAGUGGAAGUUGAAGUAAUACGAAUAAAACACACAUUGACCCAUUAAGACCUUCACAAUCUCUGAAGAACAAAUGCAGCAAAGUAAAAAGAAAGAAGAAGAAAAAAAACGUGCUCAGUGGAAACCACUGGGUUGUGAAAGAUACCACCAGCUGGAUUACUGGUUCCCGCCUCCUGGGACAGACGGG